rnacentral:misc_RNA from 1 species
AGAGAGAGAGAGGAGGGAGGGGAGGGAGGCACGUACCAGCACCACAGACACACUAGCGGCCGUCGCGUCAGGAUGAAGGCUCUCCUAUGCCUGUGUGUGUGUUUCUCCCUCUGUGCAGUUAGCGUGACCGGGUUAAGCUGCGUGCGAGACCUGACAUGUACCAAGUUACAAGCAGUCUUCAUGUUCUGCAAAUAUGGGGUGAUAAGCGGACCGUGUAGAGACUGCCAGUGUGCCAAAGGCCCGGGCGAGGAGUGUGGAGGGCUGUUCAACCUGUCAGGGAUCUGCGUCAAGGGGCUCUACUGCAAGAAGGACUGGCAGAUCUUCGGAGUCGGCAAGUGCAUAGCGCGAUGAGGCCCGAGACGAACAGCCCUGCGCGGCGGGAUGCCCGACUUGUGCCUCGCUCAUAUUUAGGGUAAGGAGGAAGUGGAGAAUGAAGACGAAGACGAAAAAGAAGAAGAAGAGAAAGGAAGGAAGGGAAAGGAGGAUAAGAACAAGAAAGAAUCGGAAAACAACAACAACAAAGAGUGUGCAUUUGCUAGAAGUCGAAAUCAACAAAUUGUAAUAGGAGUGGACUCACUGUGCUUUGUUAUUUGCCUCCUCUUGCCAUGUUCAAGAUUCGGGACUAAAGUAUUGAAAGUACAACUAUUUGAACGAACAUAGAAAUUGCGAACCAUCAGGAAUCAAAGUUCAUCUGUUUACAUCACUGGAUUGCGCCGUUUCCACCGAAAAUGGCGAGUGGGAAACGAGUGCAAGAAAAGAAAAAACAACCCAAGAGAGCAGGAUACAGGCCAACAGCGGCCGGUUAGAGCAACUGCCCUCGUUGACCGCCAUUUUGCCCAGCCGGUGAAAAGUGAGCAGACGGAGGCUGUGCUUGUUGCUCUGCCUCUCUCUCU